AACGUAGGUGGCGAGCGUUAUCCGGAUUUACUGGGCGUAAAGGGUGUGCAGGCUGCCCCUCAAGUGGUGUAUGAAAGCACCCGGCUCAACCGGGUCAUGGUAUGCCAGACUGAAGGGCUAGAGAGCGAGAGCGGGACGUGGAAUUCCGGGUGUAGUGGUGAAAUGCGUAGAGAUCGGCAGGAACACCCAGGGGAAACCAGCCGACUGGGCAUCUACUGACGCUGAGGUGCGAGAGCGUGGGAGCGAACCGG
rnacentral:rRNA from 1 species